rnacentral:tRNA from 1 species
UGCGGAGUCAGCUAAACGGCAAGCUGCCUGUCUCUGAAGCAGGUCAAGGGGUUCGAGUCCUCCCUCCGCAG